rnacentral:lncRNA from 1 species
GAAAGAAAAGAGUUGCAAAGGAGGCUCCUAUUGGCCCCUCAUCUCCCUUAUCCCCUACUUGGACAUAGACGAGUAAUUAAGUUUCAUGUGAAGGUACACUUUAUGCCUUUGACAUCUUUUACUAUGUGUAAGUUAAAUGAGUGAAUUUUCUCAUUCAAACAGUUUAUUCUUUUCAUAUUAUCUCAAUACAUUAAUAUAUGCAUUUCAUCCAAAAUUCUACUUGUGUCUCAAUGUCUGGUUGUUAACAUGGAUAUGCACGUUGAUUCAUUGGAUUUCAUUGUUUCUUUUUUGUUGAUGAAACUGAUUAGGUUGUAACAUGGAAGGGUCACGAUGGAUUGCAAAAUGAAUUAAAAUGACUAGUGAGUUAAGUACUUUGAAAUAAAAAGAAAAAGUCUUAGAUUGAACUUGGAUUGCUAAUAGAAUUAUCGUUAUUUGUUAAAUAUUUAGUACUUAAAUUUUUCAUGAUGAUGAUAAUAAUUUAGUAACAGUAUAAACAAAUGAUAUGAAUACUUUUUAUAUCACGAAUCAUUCUAAUAGCUACCAGGGUUGUACCUAUUUGAUAAUGUCAACAAUUAUGUUAUUUAUCAAGUGACUCAUUUGACCCACGAUUAAUGCUAACUAAACGCAUUAAGAUUAAGUGGAUGGAGCUUUAAUUAAGACUCAGUAUAUUUGUGAAAUUGUUAUGAACAGAAAACUUUUUUAUUUUUCAAGGUGUAGAUUGUCAUAUUCUAUUUUGAAAACAAUAUUUGAUUUAAAUUUAUUUAUCUUGCUGGCAAAUUAAUAUUGACUUCUUUUCUAGAUUGGAUUGAACCCAAAGAGAAGGAGAGCUUGUGCUUUUCAGCACCAGAAACCCCAUGAAGCAUGGUCAAGGAAUUAUUAACCGCACAUUUGUUUGUAUGGAAAGACUAUGUUUCAGAGUUAGCUUGAAAGCAGAACAAAAACAGAGAACUCCAACUGCUCUUCCAAGACGUUGAUAACAGAGUCCAUGUAUUCUUGACUUUCAUUGAAAACAAAGUCCAUUUAUCACUUUAGUACCUCAUCUUGCUUUCUGAAUAGAUACAUUUGCCAGCCAACAAAAUGCAUUUAGAAUUUUGCUUUUUAAUUACGACUCAUUUUGAUUUUUCUUUUUGCCGGUUUCUAUUCUAGAUUCUUGUAUAUUUCAUGAAGAGAUAUCCCAUGAACUCCAUUUGUUGUCUAGGAAGACUACAUUUAAGAGUUAGACUGAAGACUAAAACUAAAACAGUGAACUCCGUCUGCUCUUCCAAGAAGUUGAAAACAAACUCCUUGUAACUUUGACUUUCGCUGGUAGAUGUAUAGCUUUAGUAACUCAUUUUGCUUUAUGAUAAAGUUAUUAGAUAGCGACAAAAUGCACUUUGAAUUAUGCUUCAAUUUUUUACUCAUUUUGGAUUUUUUUUGCCAUUCUCCACUCUAGGUUCUUCCAUACUUUCUUUGAGCAAACUAACUUUCAUAAUUACAAUAGUAUUUGAUUGACACCUAAUCAAACUACCACUGUAAGUCUAUUGUAGACACCGGUUGGUUGUUUAAUUGAGAGUAAUGUGAUAGAGAACAUGAUAAAGAAUGGGUCUUAUAUAAAAGAGGGGAAAAGUGAAGGGACCAAAUUGUAAUAUUUAUAUUUUCUGUUUUGCACCCGAUCCCUAGGCUAGUAUAAAUAACUGUAGUCUUAGGGUUAUGGAUCAUUCAGUCUUUUCCAUUUGCGUUUUGAGUGUUCGGCAUUAGCUUGGGCAGGGUUGUCCCUUUGAAGGGACUCUCUGAUUAGGUCAGGAAGAACCAUUUGGGUCUUUACUGAUUUUGUUCUAUUUUCAUUUCAUUCAGUAAUCAAAUAGCUUUCUAGAUUCUACAUAUCCCAUACUCUGGUUUCUAUCAUAAUGUCCCUUAG